rnacentral:rRNA from 1 species
UGGGGAAUAUUGCACAAUGGGGGAAACCCUGAUGCAGUGACGCCGCGUGAAGGAAGAAGUAUCUCGGUAUGUAAACUUCUAUCAGCAGGGAAGAUAGUGACGGUACCUGACUAAGAAGCCCCGGCUAACUACGUGCC